GUGGUUGUGGCUCAGCGGUAGAGCACUCGCUUAGCAUGUGUUAGGCCCUGGGUUUGAUCCUCAGCACCACA
rnacentral:tRNA from 1 species